rnacentral:rRNA from 1 species
GACGUAGGGGGCCAGCGUUGUUCGGAAUUACUGGGCGUAAAGGGUUCGUAGGCGGUGCGGCAAGUUGGGAGUGAAAUCUCUGGGCUUAACCCAGAGGCUGCUUCCAAAACUGCUGUGCUUGAGUGUGGGAGAGGCGCGUGGAAUUGCAGGUGUAGCGGUGAAAUGCGUAGAUAUCGUAAGGAAGACCAGUGGCGAAGGCGGGUCUCUGGACAGUUCCUGACGCUGAGGCACGAAGGCCAGGGGAGCAAACGGG